rnacentral:tRNA from 1 species
GCUCCUAUAGUUCAAUGGACAGAACAUCUCUCUCCUAAAGAGAAAAUGUAGGUUCGAUUCCUACUGGGAGUACCA